rnacentral:rRNA from 1 species
UCAAAGUAGGCAAAUCCGCUUUGAUAAUGCUGGGAUGUGAUGGGGAGCGAAAUUUAGUAGCGAAGUAGCUGAUUUCACACUGUCAAGAAAAGUCUCUAUCGAGGUUAAAGGUACCCGUACCGCAAACCGACACAGGUGGGUGAGGAGAGUAUCCUAAGGCCAGCGAGAGAACUGUUGUUAAGGAACUCGGCAAAAUGACCCCGUAACUUAGGGAUAAGGGGUGCCACCAUCAGGUGGCCGCAGAGAAUAGGCCCAAGCGACUGUUUACCAAAAACAUAGGUUUCUGCUAAGUCGCAAGACGAUGUAUAGGAGCUGACGCCUGCCCGGUGCUGGAAGGUUAAGGGGAUCUGUUAGAGCAAUCGAAGCAGUGAACUUAAGCCCCAGUAAACGGCGGCCGUAACUAUAACGGUCCUAAGGUAGCGAAAUUCCUUGUCGGGUAAGUUCCGACCCGCACGAAAGGCGUAACGAUUUGGGCACUGUCUCAACAACAGACUCGGUGAAAUUGUAAUUCCGGUGAAGAUGCCGGAUACCUGCGACAGGACGGAAAGACCCCAUGGAGCUUUACUGUAGCUUGACAUUGGGUCUUGGUACUACAUGUACAGGAUAGGUGGGAGGCUUUGAAACCAGGACGCCAGUUUUGGCGGAGCCAUCCUUGGGAUACCACCCUUGUAGUACUGGGACUCUAACCAUAGGCCAUGAAUCUGGUCUUGGGACACUGUCAGGUGGGCAGUUUGACUGGGGCGGUCGCCUCCCAAAAGGUAACGGAGGCGCUCAAAGGUUCUCUCAGUACGGUCGGAAAUCGUACGUAGAGUGUAAAGGCAAAAGAGAGCUUGAUUGCAAGACAUACAGGUCGAGCAAGGAUGAAAAUCGGACUUAGUGAUCCGGUGGUUCUGCGUGGAAGGGCCAUCGCUCAACGGAUAAAAGCUACCCUGGGGAUAACAGGCUUAUCUCCCCCAAGAGUCCACAUCGACGGGGAGGUUUGGCACCUCGAUGUCGGCUCAUCACAUCCUGGGGCUGUAGUAGGUCCCAAGGGUUGGGCUGUUCGCCCAUUAAAGUGGUACGCGAGCUGGGUUCAGAACGUCGUGAGACAGUUCGGUCCCUAUCCGUCGCAGGCGUAGGAAAUUUGAGAAGACCUGUCCUUAGUACGAGAGGACCGGGAUGGACG